GGGGGCGAAACGGCUUCGACGGGGAUGAUGAAGCUCCGGCUGCAUACCGAGCAACUGUCAGCUCGUAAAAAAGGCGGAAACUUAAAAUAAUCGCAGAUG
rnacentral:tmRNA from 1 species